rnacentral:rRNA from 1 species
UACGAAGGGGGCUAGCGUUGCUCGGAAUCACUGGGCGUAAAGCGCACGUAGGCGGCUUUUUAAGUCAGGGGUCAAAUCCUGGAGCUCAACUCCAGAACUGCCUUUGAUACUGGGAAGCUCGAGUCCGGGAGAGGUGAGUGGAACUCCGAGUGUAGAGGUGAAAUUCGUAGAUAUUCGGAAGAACACCAGUGGCGAAGGCGGCUCACUGGCCCGGUACUGACGCUGAGGUGCGAAAGCGUGGGGAGCAAACAGG